UGUGAACUCGAAGAGUAGGGCGGGACACGUGGUAUCCUGUCUGAAUAUGGGGGGACCAUCCUCCAAGGCUAAAUACUCCUGACUGACCGAUAGUGAACCAGUACCGUGAGGGAAAGGCGAAAAGAACCCCGGCGAGGGGAGUGAAAAAGAACCUGAAACCGUGUACGUACAAGCAGUGGGAGCACCUUCGGGUGUGACUGCGUACCUUUUGUAUAAUGGGUCAGCGACUUAUAUUCUGUAGCAAGGUUAACCGUAUAGGGGAGCCGCAGGGAAACCGAGUCUUAACUGGGCGUUAAGUUGCAGGGUAUAGACCCGAAACCCGGUGAUCUAGCCAUGGGCAGGUUGAAGGUUGGGUAACACUAACUGGAGGACCGAACCGACUAAUGUUGAAAAAUUAGCGGAUGACUUGUGGCUGGGGGUGAAAGGCCAAUCAAACCGGGAGAUAGCUGGUUCUCCCCGAAAGCUAUUUAGGUAGCGCCUCGUGAACUCAUCUUCGGGGGUAGAGCACUGUUUCGGCUAGGGGGUCAUCCCGACUUACCAACCCGAUGCAAACUACGAAUACCGAAGAAUGUUAUCACGGGAGACACACGGCGGGUGCUAACGUCCGUCGUGAAGAGGGAAACAACCCAGACCGCCAGCUAAGGUCCCAAAGUCAUGGUUAAGUGGGAAACGAUGUGGGAAGGCACAGACAGCCAGGAUGUUGGCUUAGAAGCAGCCAUCAUUUAAAGAAAGCGUAAUAGCUCACUGGUCGAGUCGGCCUGCGCGGAAGAUGUAACGGGGCUAAACCAUGCACCGAAGCUGCGGCAGCGACACUAUGUGUUGUUGGGUAGGGGAGCGUUCUGUAAGCCUGCGAAGGUGACCUGUGAGGGUUGCUGGAGGUAUCAGAAGUGCGAAUGCUGACAUAAGUAACGAUAAAGCGGGUGAAAAGCCCGCUCGCCGGAAGACCAAGGGUUCCUGUCCAACGUUAAUCGGGGCAGGGUGAGUCGACCCCUAAGGCGAGGCCGAAAGGCGUAGUCGAUGGGAAACAGGUUAAUAUUCCUGUACUUGGUGUUACUGCGAAGGGGGGACGGAGAAGGCUAUGUUAGCCGGGCGACGGUUGUCCCGGUUUAAGCAUGUAGGCUGGUU
rnacentral:rRNA from 1 species